rnacentral:rRNA from 1 species
UACGUAGGGGGCAAGCGUUGUCCGGAUUUAUUGGGCGUAAAGAGCGUGUAGGCGGUUUGGUAGGUCCGCUGUGAAAACUCGAGGCUCAACCUCGGAACUGCCUUUGAUACUGCAAAUCUCGAGUCCGGAAGAGGUGAGUGGAAUUCCUAGUGUAGAGGUGAAAUUCGUAGAUAUUAGGAAGAACACCAGUGGCGAAGGCGGCUCACUGGUCCGGUACUGACGCUGAGGUGCGAAAGCGUGGGGAGCAAACAGG